rnacentral:lncRNA from 1 species
GGAUUUUAUUCCUUUAUGCAGGAUUAUAUCAACAAAAAAAAUUAAUCAGUUGCUCUAAUAAAGAAAUGGGAAAUGUUAUUAGAGUCAAAUUGAGGAUUAUAACCCAGAACAGAUUUCAGAAAGCUCCAAAAACUAUUUCGUCUAUUAGAGGUCAAAGGAUAGUUAUUUAGGUUUUUAAGACAGGGGACUGUACAUUAAAUGAUGUAGAUAGUUUUCGAAAUCCAGAUCUGCAAGUACAGAGUGGUGGAGCGUCGCGACCGUUUAAAAGAUCAAGAAGGAGGGAGUUCCCUUCGUGGCUCAGGCAGUUAAGAAUCCAACUAGUAUCUGUGAGGAUGUGGGUUCAAUCCCUGGCCUUACUCAGUGGGUUAAGGACCUGGCAUUGCCAUGAGUUGUAUUGUAGGUCACAGAUGUGGCUCAGAUCCUGAGUUGCUGUGGCUGUGGUGUGCUGCACCUGCGGCCAUAAAAAACAAAAUAAAUUAAUUAAUUAAAUGACAAAAUAAAAGAUCAAGAAGGAAUGUUAUCUUUCAAGGAGUUAUUGGUGCUAGGAGAAAGUUGCUCUUUAUGGUUGAGCAGGUAUUUCUGUCCACAGGGAGGUUUAGUUGAUGCAUAAUACAUACACAAUGCACAGCAGAGGAGAAAGAGGAGAACCAAAGGGCAGAGAAAAAUUUUUACAUUAAAAUUUUCCUUGACUUGUCUUAGAAUGCAAAUAUUUAUUUCACAAUCAUUAUCAUUAUACCUAAUAAUCAUUAUCACACUGUUUUAUAAUGGUUGCUUAUUUGUUUAAAUUUCCCCAUUAGUCAUGAGUUUCAUGAGACUAAGAAUCCUACGUCUCAUUCAUUUUUGUAGCCCCAGCACUUAGAGUUAUAUUGAGCUUAUCACUGAUGCUAAAAUAUAUCUGUAUAUUUGCUAUCUAUUUAUCAUCUAUUUAUCUGCCUCCCCAUCAAACAAGGAUUGAUAACAUGUUGUCAGUGUGAGCUUUUUAAAAUGUAUUAGAGUGUGAAAUUUCUAUAAAACAAAAAUGUAAUUGUGUAUCAAUGGGUGGCCAAAGGGAAGACAAAAUUAUUGGACUGUUUUUUUUUCCCCCCACCUUUCUAUCAGAAAACCACUUCUCUCCAUUCUGCAUCCCUCGGGUGGGAGUGAUCCCUCAGCCCCAGGGGUAAUUCAGCCCCAGAAGUUCAUGACACAGGCUUGGCCAUCCCAGUUUGUCUCCCCCAUUUUUCUGGGUGUGACUGUGAGGGUGUUUCCAGAUAAGAAUAACAUUUGAAUGAGUAGACUAAAGCAGAUUGUUCCUCCCUAGUGGAAAGGGGCCUCAUCUAAUCAAGUGAAGAUCUGAAUAGAGUUUAAAAUGCUGAGUAAGAGGAAACUCCUCCUGCCUGAUUAUUCAAGGAGGGGAUUGCUCUCUUCCCGCCUUCAAAGUCAAACCAAAAAAUCAGCUCUUCUUGGGCCUCAAGUCUACUGGAUUCCAUUCUAGAACUUAAGAGCAUUGGCUCUUCUGGGUCUCUGACUUGAUUUUGGAACUUCUCAGAUCAAGAAUUGGAUGAGCCAAUUCCUUAUAGUGAAUUUCUGUCUUUCUCUCUUUCUCUCUCACGUGUGUGUGUGUGUGUGUGUGUGUGUGUGUGUGUAUGAAACAAAAACUGAAAAUAUACUUUUAGUCAUAAUCACAAGUCACCAUAAUUUCAUCACUAAAUAGGAAAUAUUCAGAGAAAAUAUGGAUGUGUACAGAUUUGUUUGGAGAAAAAUUAUCUGACCAAACAAUUCAGUUGGAAAACCAGGUGGUCCUUUAGCAACAAGCGUUCAAGGUCCAUAUUUUAAGAGGAACCUCCCAGUGAUUGCCCUGAUACACAUUUUUCCUUCUGAUUUGAUGAUGCCCAAAACUUGCACAGGUGGAACUUCAUCCUCUUAGACCAGGGCUCUCAGCUGUGAAUGAUACUGCCCCAACACGACAUGGGAAUGCCUGGAGACAUUUUUGGUUAUCACAACUAGGAGAAGGGUGCUACUGCCAUCUAAUAGGUUGAAGCUAGGGAUUGAGCUUAGCAGGCUAUAGAACAACCCCCUACAACAAAGAAUAUUUGGGCCUCAAAUGUCAACAGUGCUGAGUUUGAGAAAAUCCUGGUUUAGCCAGCUUUUGGUAUCUGAGUGAGGUAACAAACCAAAGUCAAGCAGUCAUUUAUGUAAUGAAAAUGAAUUCAAGGCCUUUCCCAGAAGCUAGUUUUCACAGAGACAAGUGGAUGGAGAAGAGUGAGGUUCCAGAGUACGUUCAGAGAAUGGCAGAGAUACCAAAGAAAUGAGAAGGGGAAUGGGAGUUCCUGUCGUGGCUCGGUGGUAACAAACCCGACUGGUAUCUGUGAAAACUCGGGUUCUCUCCCUGGCCCCUCUCAGUGGGUUAAGCAUCUGGUGUUGUCUUGAGCUGUGCAGAUGCAGCUUGGAUCUGUCAUUGCUGCGGCUAUGGUGCAGGGUGGCAGCUGCAGCUCUGAUUUGAGCCCUAGCCUGGGAACUUCCAUUGGCCAUGAGUGUGGACUAAAAAGGAAAAAAAAAAAAAAAUUCAGAAGAGAAGGAAAUCAAAAACAAAAGCACAAUUUUAUAAGUUUAUAACUUACUUUGGAGGAAAGCAUGCCCCUUUGGAGGUGAGGUUCAGACCUCCAAAAGCUACUCAAAUAUUUCUAGUAAGCAAAGAUACAGAUUAGUGUAUUUGUUGAACAACGGCUCUUGUUUGUAAAAUAGUUCAUUGUUUUUCCCCUGGCAAAAUUAAGCAGAAAAUGAAAAGAUUUAAAGAAAGUAAAGAAACAAUGUUCAAGCUAUGUCUCUAGACUAGUGCUUCUAAGCCCUGAGCACCAAGCCCUGCAACUUCCGCCACCCCCAAAGAAGGCACUGCAGAAACCAUUUUUUAAAACUGGGCAAUCAGUUCAACUUCAAGCUUAAAGGUUAUCAGGACCCUGGCAGGAAGAGCUGGCACCUGUAAAUUGGGUAAUUUGAAAAAAAUCAAAGGUGUGGGCAUAAUGUAGGGAAAGCACAGGAGAUAGUUCAUGACUUAAGACUAGUAAUCAUACCUCCCUCACUCAUGAAGGGGCUAUGGGAGGGAGCAUUUCUCUAACUACUGCAUUCAGAGAGCUGUUCAGGGAAGACAGCUUAAUAGGGCUGUCCUAUUUGGUCAAAAGAUACAUCCUGCCCAGGAAGACCCUACAAGGAAGGAACUGGGGGCAUCAGUACACUCAUCUCACGCUCCUCAGUCCUUCUGACCUCCUGCUGUUACUUCCCAUGGCUUAAAUCCAAGGGGCAUUGAGAAGGCAAGAUGGCUGGAUGAAGGCCAGUGUCUUGGUCCCGUCAGGCUGCCAUAGAAGCAUACUGUACAUUGGGUUCCUUAUAAACAACAGAAAUUUUAUUUAUUUCUCACAGUGCUAGAAGCUGAGAAGUCCAAGAUUAACGCAUCAGCAGAUUCAGUGCCUGGUGAGCGCAUGCUUCCUGGUUCAGAGAUGGCUGUCUUCAUUCUGCAUCCUCACAGGACACAUGGAGCCUCUCUGGACCCUCCUGCAUGAGGACACUGAGCUCAUCCAUGAGGCCUCCAGCCUCAAGACUUAAUAACACUCCAAAGGUCUCACCUCCUAAUUCCAUCACAUUGGGGGUUAGGGUUUCAACAUAUGAAUUUUAAGGGAUCACAAAUAUUCAGUCUAGGGAGUUCCUGUUGUGGGACAGUGGAAACAAAUCUGACUAGUAUCCAUGAGGAUGAAGGUUCGAUCCCUGGCUCCACUUAGUAGGUCAGGGAUCUGGUGUUACUGUGGCUAUGGCGCAGGCUGGCAGCUGCAGCUCCAAUUUGACCCCUAGCCUGGGAACUUCCAUAUGCCGUGUGUGCGUAUGGAAAAGCAAAAGCAAAAGACAAAAACCAAAAACCAUUCAGUCUAUAAUAGUCAGCCUCCAAGUCAGACCCAGGGUAGGGAGCAGAUCUUGGGGAAAAAUUGGAAACUGUUAUAGCAUUCUGACCUUCAGCAUGCAUUCUUGUCCUUAAUUCAAAUGAAAACUUGUGUCAUCAACACAUAUCAACUAUUUUAUUCUUGUUGAUAUCCAUUCAUUCAUGUUUCUUCCUGAAAACUUAAUAUUAGCUAGCAUCAAUAUUCCUCAUAUAAUGGAGAGAGGUAGAAAGAAGGAGGAAGAGAAACAAUUAAAUAAUAUUUAGCAUAACUGCUACAACCCUACGCCAAUAGCUAUUUACUGGCCUGAAGCUGGUAAUCAUAGCUGUCUUCUUCCCCCACUCAAUUCAAGUUCCCUUUACCUUCUAAUAGCAUCACAGCUGGCUUUUUUAGCUGGUAGGGAGACAAAAAUAUUUAUUCCCAUGGGAUAUGAGUCUUUGCUGGUCUUGGCUUUAUUGGGUUGCUAUGGCUUUAUAUUGAACAGGACUACUAUCAUAGGAGUGUCAUGAGGUACUCCAGUGAUUCUCUAGCUUCUAAUAUAAUCUUCAUUCUAUCCACUGUAGUGUAGAAAUUCAAUUUCCCACUGAUUACCAGGGUUAGGCAUGUUGGCUAGAACAGUACUGUGGGAAGUGGGGUGGAGGUGGGGAAGUAAAGGUAGUUCCCAAGUAAAUGGGACCAGAUCUUCCUGCCUCUACUACAAUACAUUCUCUCUCUCUCUCUCUUUUUUUAGGGCUAUACCCACAGCAUAUGGAGGUUCCCAGGGCUAGGGGUUCAAUCGGAGCUAUAGCUGCUGGCCUACACCACAGCCACAGCAACAUGGCAUCCCAGCCACAUCCAUGACCUACACCACAGCUCAUGGCAACACUAGAUCCUUAACCCACUGAGCAAGGCCAGGGAUCGAACCUGUGUCCUCAUGGAUGCUAGUCGGGUUUGCUAACCACUGAGCCAUGAUGGGAACUCCAGAACUUAUUUAUUCUUGAACAAAAACUUUCCAAGAAGUUCCCAUUGUGGUUCAUGGGUUAAGAAUCUGAUGGUGUCUCUGUGAGGAUGUGGGUUCCAUCUCUGGUAUUGCUCACUGGGUUAAGGAUAUGGCACUGCUGCAAGCUAUAGCUUUGAUUCGACCCCUGCCCUGGGAAAUUCCAUGUGCCGAAGUUGUGGCCAUUAAAACAAACAAACAAACAAACAAACAAAACUUUCUGGAACGAUUAACCAAUAAACACAUGGUAAACACAUACUUUGCAUUAAACCCAUAGUAAAGAUGCAUUGUCUAAUACAGUGACAUAUAAAAAAUGUUUCUGUCUCCAAUUAUUAAUUUUUCAAGUAACAUGGAAAUGACAUUCUUAAAAAUGAAAAUUAAAAAUGAUAAAAACUACAGAUACUAAGAUUAACAUAACAAAAGGAAUGCCUACAUAUGCUUUCAUUAGAUAGCUCGUAAUUGCCAGGAAAUAACCUAAGGUUGAGGUGAUGCGGUUUGGAAGAGUGGAAGAAACAGAUUUGGGAGACAAAUAGGCCUAUGUCCACUCCUAGCCCUGCUUUUACUAAGUCUCUAGCUCUGGCCAAAUGAUUCAACCUCCCUAAAUCUGUUUCCUCAAUGAUGAGGUGCCAUGCAGAAUAACUAAAUAAUUAAUUAAAUAAGUUGUUCAAAAGUAGCAGUUGUUAUUGAGAUGAUAUUUCCACCUGAAAUACAGAUGUUUCAAUGCAAGGUACCUAGGCUGCAGCCCCCUGAGAUGUAAAUGACCAUCUUACAGACAGAGGGUCCCUGAAUGGUGAGGAACUGGGGAAGUGGUGUUCCUUGAGCUCCACAUUGAGAUAAUAGAAGCAGAUCACAGAGCAGGAAAGGACCCAAAAAACACUGGUGAAGGAUG